ACCAGACUCCUACGGGAGGCAGCAGUGAGGAAUAUUGGUCAAUGGGCUAACGCCUGAACCAGCCAAGUCGCGUGAGGGAAGACGGUCCUAUGGAUUGUAAACCUCUUUUGUCGGGGAGCAACGAGGCCACGUGUGGCCGAAGUGAGAGUACCCGAAGAAAAAGCAUCGGCUAACUCCGUGCCAGCAGCCGCGGUAAUACGGAGGAUGCGAGCGUUAUCCGGAUUUAUUGGGUUUAAAGGGUGCGUAGGCGGAACAUUAAGUCAGCGGUAAAAUCGAGGGGCUCAACCCCUUUAAGCCGUUGAAACUGGCGUUCUUGAGUGGGCGAGAAGUAUGCGGAAUGCGUGGUGUAGCGGUGAAAUGCAUAGAUAUCACGCAGAACCCCGAUUGCGAAGGCAGCAUGCCGGCUUCCUACUGACGCUGAAGCACGAAAGCGUGGGGAUCGAACAGGAUUAGAUACCCCCGUAUUA
rnacentral:rRNA from 1 species